GCAGCCGUAGCUCAGCGGGAGAGCGCCCGGCUGAAGACCGGGCGGUCCCGGGUUCAAAUCCCGGCGGCUGCA
rnacentral:tRNA from 1 species